CACCGUGAUUCGUCUCGGCCAAGCUGCGAGCCGUUUUUCAAUGUCACCUGCGAGAAAGGAGGCAGCCUGGGCUGCUGGUCGUGCGAGAUGAUCCAGAUGUGUACUCCAGAGGCAGCCGGCUGCUAUUUCCACUCCAUGGACAACAUCACUUACUGUGGCUUUUGAGAGCAAACAAACACCCUAUAGGAUUAUUGUUUACAGUGGCUGGAAGUUCUCUUCUUUCCAUUGUAAUAGUUCGAGCAAGAAAGGCACGAAGGUCCUUGAAGUUAA